GCCAUCUGACAGUUUUGAGUGUAUGGAUUUACUAGUAGUAUUUUUCUAAAACCAGCCAACUUCACCUUCUUUCACAGCCUCAGACAUCAGCUGAUCAUCUGUACUUGUUGCUGGUAUAGCCUUUAGGAUUUCAUUAUGGAUGGUGUGUGAAUGGAUGAUAUAUUUCAUUGAGGAUGACAUGUUCAUUAUUGAUCAUCUGCACCUUAUAGAGCAACGCACUUAGGCAUUGAGUUUUUCUCAGGAAUACCAAUUUCAAAUAACAACCUGCUCUUAUGAGUUGAUUGCUGUUACAGAGGGGUCGGAAGCUGGGUGAAAUUCAUCAGCUGCAACUUCAUUGGUGCUGUGCAGAAGAAGACAGUAUCAUCCCCCUGCUGUGCUGCCCCUGUUCCUCCUAAUGUACCCAGUUAUGCAGUUUGCCUUAGUUGUGAUGGAAGUACACUGUUGCCUUGUAGAUUGGCAUUUGCUUUAACUGCCAAGCUGUUUUCAGCCAGUACUCAUACAACCUGUGCUGCUUCCCCAGCAGCAGAACUUUUCACUUCCUGUUAAACUUCAGAAGUUUUCUGAUAUCCAGUCCGUUUUCACCAAGUCCCUCUCAUUUGAAGCUCCACCCCCUAAUUUCUGUUCAAGUGUUUGAAUUCCUGACAAAAGUCCUAGGUUUGCCUUAUACUGAAUGUCUGUGGCUUGAGAGAGUAGAGCAGUCGCUGCCUCAUGUGGUGUUUCUGCUCGAGACAAAAAUGUCAGGACAGUCUUUCGUGUUGAUAAACAAAUGAGAGUUUUUAAUUCAUCAAACUCUCUUUAAGAAAUUUUAGUUUAUAACAAAGGCAUUUUGAAUACAAAUUUCCAUGUGGAUAUAGUAAUUUCCCAGGAGCUAGCGAUUAAACUUGAUUCAUGCAACAGUGGGGGCCUAGAGAAAGAAGUGUGCCUUCUUUCUUAAUGAACUUUGUUUCUGUUGCAAGCACCUUGUAAGUAUUUUUAAAAGUUAUGCUCCUAGCUUAUGUUUAUUAGCAUUCAUGAAUGGUCACAUCAUACUACUUUACGAGGAGAUUAAAAUCCCUAACUGUUACCUGUUUGUUUUGAAAGCUUCCUAUUAGGAUAGCCAAAUCUUUCUGACCAUCCUUCAUGACAGCCACACAAGGACCUUGUGUAGCAGGAGUUUGAACUAACAAAUUCAAAGAGUCAACAGAUAACUUUUACUCUGCAGUAUUAAGAAUAUGAAAGUCAAGAUGACCUUUAGGCUUUUCAUGGUAGUUCAGGAAACCAAAACCUAAAAUGUAUUCUGUGAUUGCGUCACCUUUCUGAAAUCCUCCUCUCCCACUAUGUCAACAUUUUUGUUUAUCUUCUUCUUGUUGUCUUUCAGAACUGUUUGUGUCUGCCAAUAAAACUGGCAGAUAAAUGGCUUUGUCAUGCGAGGCUCUUACCUGCCAAACAUGUGGGCAU